AGUGAACGCUGGCGGUAGGCCUAACACAUGCAAGUCGAACGGCAGCACAGUAAGAGCUUGCUCUUACGGGUGGCGAGUGGCGGACGGGUGAGGAAUACAUCGGAAUCUACUUUUUCGUGGGGGAUAACGUAGGGAAACUUACGCUAAUACCGCAUACGACCUACGGGUGAAAGCAGGGGAUCUUCGGACCUUGCGCGAUUGAAUUAGCCGAUGUCGGAUUAGCUAGUUGGCGGGGUAAAGGCCCACCAAGGCGACGAUCCGUAGCUGGUCUGAGAGGAUGAACAGCCACAAUGGAACUGAGGCAGGGUCCAGACUCCUACGGGAGGCGGCAGUGGGGAAUAUUGGACAAUGGGGGCAAGCCUGAUCCAGCCAUACCGCGUGGGUGAAGAAGGCCUUCGGGUUGUAAAGCCCUUUUGUUGGGAAAGAAAAGCAGCAGGUUAAUACCCCGCUGUUCUGACGGUACCCAAAGAAUAAGCACCGGCUAACUUCGUG
rnacentral:rRNA from 1 species